AGAGCGGGUACGGGUGCGGGACACGUGUGUCACUGACUUUAUCUGGGGGGAUAGCCUUUCGAAAGGAAGAUUAAUACCCCCAUAAUUAUGUUGAAUGGAUCAUUCGACUUUGAAAACUCCGGUGGAUAGAGAUGGGCACGCGCAAGAUAGAUAGUUGGUGAGGUAACGGUCACCAAGUCUAAGAUCUUUAGGGGCCUGAGAGGGUGAUACCCCCACACUGGUACUUGAGACACGGACCAAUACUCCUACGGGAGGCAGCAGUGAGGAAUAUUUGGACAAUGGGUGAGAGCCUGAUCCAGCCAUCCCGGUGAAGGACGACUGCCCUAUGGGUUGUAAACUUCUUUUGUAUAGGAUAAACACUAACCUCGUGAGGGUACUGAAGGUACUUAUCACGAAUUAAACACCGGUUAAUCCGUGGACCCAAGAAAGACCAGGGGGGUAAAUUCACGGAGGGGGUUNGGCAAAGGGUUUAAUCCGGGGAAAUUUAAAUGGGGGGGUUUUACAAAAAGGGGGGUCCCAGUUACAGGAGGGGAAAAUACUUGGACAGGGUUCNAAGUGGGUGGAAAAAAUCUUCACANAGAGAUUUCUAACUCUGGUUGG
rnacentral:rRNA from 1 species